rnacentral:tRNA from 1 species
GUGAGCGUAGCUCAGCUGGUAGAGCAUCGGGUUGUGGUCCCGAGGGUCGUGGGUUCAAUCCCCAUCGCUCACCCCA